UACGAAGGGGGCUAGCGUUGCUCGGAAUCACUGGGCGUAAAGCGCAAGUAGGCGGUUUGUUAAGUAAGGGGUGAAAUCCUGGAGCUCAACUCCAGAACUGCCUUUGAUACUGGCGAUCUUGAGUCCGGGAGAGGUGAGUGGAACUGCGAGUGUAGAGGUGAAAUUCGUAGAUAUUCGCAAGAACACCAGUGGCGAAGGCGGCUCACUGGCCCGAUACUGACGCUGAGGUGCGAAAGCGUGGGGAGCAAACAGG
rnacentral:rRNA from 1 species